CUACGGGUUGCUGCAGUGGGGAAUAUUGCACAAUGGGCGCAAGCCUGAUGCAGCCAUGCCGCGUGUAUGAAGAAGGCCUUCGGGUUGUAAAGUACUUUCAGCGGGGAGGAAGGGAGUAAAGUUAAUACCUUUGCUCAUUGACGUUACCCGCAGAAGAAGCACCGGCUAACUCCGUGCCAGCAGCCGCGGUAAUACGGAGGGUGCAAGCGGUAAUCGGAAUUACUGGGCGUAAAGCGCACGCCGGCGGUUUGUUAAGUCAGAUGUGAAAUCCCCGGGCUCAACCUGGGAACUGCAUCUGAUACUGGCAAGCUUGAGUCUCGUAGAGGGGGGUAGAAUUCCAGGUGUAGCGGUGAAAUGCGUAGAGAUCUGGAGGAAUACCGGUGGCGAAGGCGGCCCCCUGGACGAAGACUGACGCUCAGGUGCGAAAGCGUGGGGAGCAAACAGGAUUAGAUACCCGUGUAGUC
rnacentral:rRNA from 1 species